GGAGCGGCGCGGGGCGGGGACGGCCUGGCAGCUCCCAGCAGCGAGGGGCGAUCCCCCCCCGCGCAGCAGACCCCGAGCUGCCCAGGCCCUUCCUGCGCCACGUGUACCCAGAGCUCCGCCCGGGGGAGACUUCGCUGCUUGUUGGAGAUGCCCAGCGGUAGGGGGCGAGGACUCGGGAGGAAGAGAGCUGAAGGUGUUCCGUGGUCAGUGAGGGCUGGCACUGGCUCUGCACGAAGAUCUCCUCACCUCCCCAGCGGCUCCUGGCCAGCUCCCCACGGAGAGCCCAGGACACUUGUCCCUGGACACAGUGGUGCAGCCAUGCUUGGGCCAAACCAUGAGGCCACCAGAACCGCGAAAGGCUACUCUACUGAGAGGGAUACUGCGAGAGAGGCCCACGGGUUUCCAAGCAUCCCUCUCACUCCGCACACUCAUCUCCACGACCGGCUUUUAAGUGCGGCCUUGAGGCCUGGCUCCCUGUUUGGACUUCUCUGCACCUCCAGGAGCUCCCUUCCCGUCACAGCUGGAUGCCUCCUCCCGCAGGCACCUCCCCGGCAUCCUCCCGCCCCAGGCUGCACCUUCUGUGGGACUGGCCCCCGCAGGCACCUCCCCAGCAUCCUCCCGCCCCAGGCUGCACCUUCUGUGGGACUGAGCCCCGAAGGCACCUCCCCGGCAUCCUCCCGCCCCAGGCUGCAGCUUCUGUGGGACUGACCCCCGCAGGCACCUCCCCGGCAUCCUCCCGCCCCAGGCUGCAGCUUCUGUGGGACUGACCUUAAGACCCCAUCGGUUCCUCCUGAGAGCAGCAGAUCUCAGCCAGAUGCUGCCGGGAGGGAGGUGCUAGCGUCCACACCCAGACAGGGGUCCAGUCCAGCCCUGCUCUCCCUGGUCUCCAGGCAGGGCCCUCCCAGGGUGGACAUUGCCCAUCUCUGCCUGGCCAGGGGCUGCUGACCCACUGGUUCCAGAGUCUGAGCCUGUCCUGCACAAGUACCAUGGACAGGGGUCAGCCGGGCACUGAAGAGACGUGGCAGAAUUGGGCAGGGCAAGGGCCCCAGCUGGCAAGCUGGAGUCAGGGCAAUUCCAACCAAGAAACUGCGGCAGGCUGGGUGCAGUGUCUCAAGCCUAUAAUCCCAGCACUUUGGGAGGCAGUGGGAGAAUCGCUUGAGCCCGGGAGUUUGAGACCAGCAUUGGUAACACAGAGACACCCUAUCGCUACAAGAAAAAAAAAAAAAAAAAAGCUGGGCAUGGUGGUGCACACCUGUUGUCCCAGCUACUCAGGAGGCUGACGUGGGAGGAUUGCUUGUGCCCAGGGGUUGCAGGCUGCAGUGAGCUGUGAUCAUACCACUGCACUCCAGCCUGGGCGACAGAGAACCUCUCUAAAAAAAAAAGGAAAAUGAAAAAUAAAUGGGGGCAGAAGCUCCUCCAGGGCCCACCUGGCCUGCUGGGGACUCACUCCAAACCGCUUCAUUUUUGGAGGGGGCUUUCCAGGACUGAGAGGUGUCAGAGCUGCUGGUGACAGGAGCAGGGAAAGCACCAUCUGGCCGGCCCCCAGGGGCCCCAUGUAGGGUUCCUC
rnacentral:lncRNA from 1 species